rfam:Hepatitis C virus subtype 2a isolate G2aK3, complete genome.
CUGGCCCCUAUAUGGGAAUGAGGGACUCGGCUGGGCAGGGUGGCUCCUGUCCCCCCGAGGYUCCCGUCCCUCUUGGGGCCC